CUACGGGAGGCAGCAGUGGGGAAUAUUGCACAAUGGGCGCAAGCCUGAUGCAGCCAUGCCGCGUGUAUGAAGAAGGCCUUCGGGUUGUAAAGUACUUUCAGCGGGGAGGAAGGGAGUAAAGUUAAUACCUUUGCUCAUUGACGUUACCCGCAGAAGAAGCACCGGCUAACUCCGUGCCAGCAGCCGCGGUAAU
rnacentral:rRNA from 2 species